UACAGAGGGUGCGAGCGUUAAUCGGAAUUACUGGGCGUAAAGCGCACGUAGGCGGCUUUGCAAGUUAGAGGUGAAAGCCCGGGGCUCAACUCCGGAAUUGCCUUUAAAACUGCAUCGCUAGAAUUGUGGAGAGGUAAGUGGAAUUCCGAGUGUAGAGGUGAAAUUCGUAGAUAUUCGGAUGAACACCAGUGGCGAAGGCGACUUACUGGACACAUAUUGACGCUGAGGUGCGAAAGCGUGGGGAGCAAACAGG
rnacentral:rRNA from 1 species